rnacentral:rRNA from 1 species
UACGUAGGGUGCGAGCGUUGUCCGGAAUUAUUGGGCGUAAAGAGCUCGUAGGCGGUUUGUCGCGUCGGCCGUGAAAACUUGGGGCUUAACCCCAAGCCUGCGGUCGAUACGGGCAGACUUGAGUUCGGCAGGGGAGAGUGGAAUUCCUGGUGUAGCGGUGAAAUGCGCAGAUAUCAGGAAGAACACCCGUGGCGAAAGCGGCUCUCUGGAACGGUACUGACGCUGAGACGCGAAAGCGUGGGGAGCGAACAGG